rnacentral:rRNA from 2 species
CGACGCUGGCGGCGUGCCUAAUACAUGCAAGUCGAACGAACUCUGGUAUUGAUUGGUGCUUGCAUCAUGAUUUACAUUUGAGUGAGUGGCGAACUGGUGAGUAACACGUGGGAAACCUGCCCAGAAGCGGGGGAUAACACCUGGAAACAGAUGCUAAUACCGCAUAACAACUUGGACCGCAUGGUCCGAGUUUGAAAGAUGGCUUCGGCUAUCACUUUUGGAUGGUCCCGCGGCGUAUUAGCUAGAUGGUGGGGUAACGGCUCACCAUGGCAAUGAUACGUAGCCGACCUGAGAGGGUAAUCGGCCACAUUGGGACUGAGACACGGCCCAAACUCCUACGGGAGGCAGCAGUAGGGAAUCUUCCACAAUGGACGAAAGUCUGAUGGAGCAACGCCGCGUGAGUGAAGAAGGGUUUCGGCUCGUAAAACUCUGUUGUUAAAGAAGAACAUAUCUGAGAGUAACUGUUCAGGUAUUGACGGUAUUUAACCAGAAAGCCACGGCUAACUACGUGCCAGCAGCCGCGGUAAUACGUAGGUGGCAAGCGUUGUCCGGAUUUAUUGGGCGUAAAGCGAGCGCAGGCGGUUUUUUAAGUCUGAUGUGAAAGCCUUCGGCUCAACCGAAGAAGUGCAUCGGAAACUGGGAAACUUGAGUGCAGAAGAGGACAGUGGAACUCCAUGUGUAGCGGUGAAAUGCGUAGAUAUAUGGAAGAACACCAGUGGCGAAGGCGGCUGUCUGGUCUGUAACUGACGCUGAGGCUCGAAAGUAUGGGUAGCAAACAGGAUUAGAUACCCUGGUAGUCCAUACCGUAAACGAUGAAUGCUAAGUGUUGGAGGGUUUCCGCCCUUCAGUGCUGCAGCUAACGCAUUAAGCAUUCCGCCUGGGGAGUACGGCCGCAAGGCUGAAACUCAAAGGAAUUGACGGGGGCCCGCACAAGCGGUGGAGCAUGUGGUUUAAUUCGAAGCUACGCGAAGAACCUUACCAGGUCUUGACAUACUAUGCAAAUCUAAGAGAUUAGACGUUCCCUUCGGGGACAUGGAUACAGGUGGUGCAUGGUUGUCGUCAGCUCGUGUCGUGAGAUGUUGGGUUAAGUCCCGCAACGAGCGCAACCCUUAUUAUCAGUUGCCAGCAUUAAGUUGGGCACUCUGGUGAGACUGCCGGUGACAAACCGGAGGAAGGUGGGGAUGACGUCAAAUCAUCAUGCCCCUUAUGACCUGGGCUACACACGUGCUACAAUGGAUGGUACAACGAGUUGCGAACUCGCGAGAGUAAGCUAAUCUCUUAAAGCCAUUCUCAGUUCGGAUUGUAGGCUGCAACUCGCCUACAUGAAGUCGGAAUCGCUAGUAAUCGCGGAUCAGCAUGCCGCGGUGAAUACGUUCCCGGGCCUUGUACACACCGCCCGUCACACCAUGAGAGUUUGUAACACCCAAAGUCGGUGGGGUAACCUUUUAGGAACCAGCCGCCUAAGGUGGGAC